rnacentral:rRNA from 1 species
AACACGGGACUGCCGGUCUUAGACCGGAGGAAGUGGGGAUGACGUCAAGUCCUCAUGGCCUUUAUGCCCAGGGCUACACACGUGCUACAAUGGGCGGUACAAAGAGAAGCAACCUCGCGAGGGUGAGCAAAUCUCAAAAAGCCGUUCUCAGUUCGGAUUGAAGUCUGCAACUCGACUUCAUGAAGUCGGAAUCGCUAGUAAUCGCGGAUCAGCAUGCCGCGGUGAAUACGUUCCCGGGCCUU